GAUGAACGCUGGCGGCGUGCUUAACACAUGCAAGUCGAGCGAAGCACUUUUGCGGAUUUCUUCCGAAUGAAACAACUGUGACUGAACGGCGGACGGGUGAAUAACGCGUGGGUAACCUGCCUCAUACAGGGGGAUAACAGUUGGAAACGGCUGCUAAUACCGCAUAAGCACACAGUAGCGCAUGGUACGGUGUGAAAAACUCCGGUGGUAUGAAAUGAACCCGCGUCUGAUUAUGUACUUGGUGGGGUAACGGCCUACCACCCCGACGAUCAUUAGCCGACCUGAUAGGGUGACCGGCCACAUUGGGACUGAGACACGGCCCAAACUCUUACGGGAGGCAGCAGUGGGGAAUAUUGCACAAUGGGGGAAACCCUGAUGCAGCGACGCCGCGUGAACGAUGAAGUUUUUCGGUAUGUAAAGUUCUAUCAGCAGGGAAGAAAAUGACGGUACCUGAGUAAGAAGCCCCGGCUAACUACGUGCCAGCAGCCGCGGUAAUACGUAGGGGGCAAGCGUUAUCCGGAUUUACUGGGUGUAAAGGGAGCGCAGACGGCAUGGCAAGCCAGAUGUGAAAUCCCGGGGCUCAACCCCGGGAUUGCAUUUGGAACUGUCAGUCUAGAGUGUCGGAGAGGAAAGCGGAAUUCCUAGUGUAGCGGUGAAAUGCGUAGAUAUUAGGAGGAACACCAGUGGCGAAGGCGGCUUUCUGGACGAUGACUGACGUUGAGGCUCGAAAGCGUGGGGAGCAAACAGGAUUAGAUACCCUGGUAGUCCACGCCGUAAACGAUG
rnacentral:rRNA from 1 species